AGUCAAGCUACACAGGGCGUACGGUGGAUAC
rnacentral:rRNA from 1 species